rnacentral:sRNA from 1 species
AAGCGAUGGUAGUUCUGGAGGCCUCGCUCCGGGGCCGACCCGAGGCCACAGUUCCUCCGCGGUAGACCGGACUUGGGUGACGGGCUCCGGGCUCCCGAGGUGAAGAGCAUCGGGGGCUGAGGGAUGGAAGGGUCUAAGACGUCCAACAACAGCACCAUGCAGGUGAGCUUCGUGUGCCAGCGCUGCAGCCAGCCCCUGAAACUGGACACGAGUUUCAAGAUCCUGGACCGUGUCACCAUCCAGGAACUCACAGCUCCAUUACUUACCACAGCCCAGGCGAAACCAGGAGAGACCCAGGAGGAAGAGACUAACUCAGGAGAGGUAAUAGAAGUGCCCUCUCCCCUAUCCUCCUCCUGUAGUAAACAUUCCAAAUGAGAGAUAUGAUAUGAAAACAGGAAUGCAGGCUUGGUUUCUGCAGGCUACUUGGCGCUUCUAGAGCUCCCAGACUUUUGGGAUCUCUGGGUAAUGAGACAUUCUACAUGAUCAGGCUGCUAUGCACCAUUGGAGGUACAGAUCUGCACCUGAGGUCACAGGGUUACUGAAUUAGUCAUUUUAAAAUGUUGGAAAGGGCUCUUUAUUUGAAGCAGAAUUAUAAAUUAUUGUAGGUUGGAGAUGGGAUGACCUUUGUGUCCAGGUCGUUCUAGAGCAUUGAUUUGCAUCUGUUGUUCUAGCUAGUUGUUAAUAUCCGCUCCUUUCCAUUCUCAAAAGCAUCCUGGUUAGGACAGUGAAUUGUAUGAUUGCCCU